GCAGUGGUGGUUUAGUGGUAGAAUUUCUGUGUUCCAUGCAGAGACCCAGGUUUGAUUCCUGGCCAAUGUG
rnacentral:tRNA from 1 species